rnacentral:rRNA from 1 species
GAUGAACGCUGGCGGCGUGCCUAAUACAUGCAAGUCGAGCUAACAGACGAUUAGCUUGCUCCUCUGACGUUAGCGGCUGACGUGUGAGUAACACGUUUAUAACCUACCUAUAUUACUUUUAUUACUUCGUGAAACCUUAGCUAAUACCGGAUAAUAUAUUUAACCGCAUGGUUCAAUAGUUAUAUCCUGUUUUUCUGUCUCUUAUAGCUUGUUCCGCGCCGCAUUAGCUAGUUGGUUAGGUAACGGCUUACCAAGGCAACGAUGCGUAGCCGACGUGAUAGGGUGAUCGGCCAAACGGGAACUGAGACAAGGUAAAGACGCCUACGGGAGGCAGCAGAAGGGAAUAUUCCGCAAUGGGCGAAAGCAGGAAGGAGAAAAGCGGCGUGAGUGAUGAAGGUCUUAGGAUCGUAAAACUCUGUUAUUAGGGAAGAAAAAAUGUGUAAGUAAAUAUGAACGUAUUGACGGUACCUAAUAAGAAAGCCACGGCUAACUACGUG